AGAAUCAACGCUGGCGGCGUGCCUAACACAUGCAAAUCGAACGAGAAAGUGGAGCAAUCCAUGAGUAAAGUGGCGCACGGGUGAGUAACACGUGACUAACCUACCCUUGAGUGGGGGAUAACCUAGGGAAACCUGGGCUAAUACCGCAUAAUACCUUCGGGUCAAAGGAGCAAUUCGCUUAAGGAGGGGUCGCGGCCGAUUAGUUAGUUGGCGGGGUAAUGGCCCACCAAGACUGUGAUCGGUA
rnacentral:rRNA from 1 species